AGUGAACGCUGGCGGUAGGCCUAACACAUGCAAGUCGAACGAGUGGCGGACGGGUGAGGAAUGCAUCGGCAUCUACUCUUUCGUGGGUGAUAACGUAGGGAAACUUACGCUAAUACCGCAUACGACAGAAUGAGCCGAUGCCCGAUUAGCUAGUUGGCGGGGUAAGAGCCCACCAAGGCGACGAUCGGUAGCUGGUCUGAGAGGAUGAUCAGCAAAACUGGAACUGAGACACGGUCCAGCCUCCUACGGGAGGAAGCAGUGGGGAAUAUUGGACAAGGGGCGCAAGCCUGAUCCAGACAUACCGCGUGGGUGAAGAAGGCCUUCGGGUUGUAAAGCCCUUUUGUUGGGAAAGCGGUACCCAAAGAAUAAGCACCGGCUAACUUCGUGCCAGCAGCCGCGGUAAUAC
rnacentral:rRNA from 1 species